AUGAGUGUUUUGCUUGCACAGAUGUAUGUGCUCCACAUGACGCCUGAUGCCCACUAAAGCCAGAAGAGGGCACCAGAUACCCUGGAACUGGAUUUACGGAUGGUCAUAAACCCCUUUGCAGGUUCAAAGGUUAAUAAUGGUGAUAAAUACCCACGUCUGUCUGUCACCAUGUGUCUGUGGCAUAGUGGAUUAGGAAACCAAAAAAGUAAGGACCAAUUGCCACCUUGCACAGCUCAUAUAAAGUUCAUUAUUUGGAGGAAAAGAGGAUCAGUUGGCAGAAGGACAAAGUGAACAUUACUAAGGACCUUGAAGAAAAAUGGAGGAGUAGAGAGGAGUGAUGGUUAAUUUUGUUUGUCAGCUGGACUGGGUUAAGAAAAAUGUAGAGCACUGAUGAGGUAUAUUCUUGGGUGUGUUUGUGAUGGAUUUCUUUCAGAACAGGUUAACUGAGAAGGGAAGACAUGAU